AGUUGCCAGAACAAGAUUGGAGCCAUAGGUAAGUGAACAUCUUCUUGGUAUGUAACUAGUAAUGAGCAUCUGAGUUUCUCACCGGCAAAACAUCUGAUAUGUCAUAUUUGCAGAGAGUUUGAAGACUUACACUGAGAAGUUCUCGGCGAAUGUCCAGGAACCAACCGAGGAAUCUGACUUGCUGAGAAAGGAUGACCGCAUAAUCAAGGGAAAAGGUAGAGUCUUUACCACAGCCGAAGAGGCAGCUUUGGCCGAUUAUGGAAGUUACAUGAAAUUACUGAGUCAAGCAUCCGAUCUUAAUGUAGCUGGAUUCGCAGAACCUUCUUAUCUAUACAAACAGUUCAAUCAAGGUUCUCAGAUAUCCGUCCCAGAGUUCAUCCAAAACGUCCCUUCUUCAAACUACUCUACCUGUGAGAGAAGCAUCAUACAAGAGCAUAUGAUGAAGCUACUACAGAGAGCAAGCAACAAGAGCCAGAACACAGGUUGGACCGAGAGAGAAGUGGUAAACAAUACAAUCGAUGACAUGUUUGCUGGUUUGCCAACAGCGUAUAGUUCCUGGAAUAGGCUGCCUUCUGAUCACUCAUCAUCGGCACAGAACUGUACCGCCGCCAGUAGCUGGGAGUCUUCGAGUGAUCGUAGUAUCAUCAACAAGGGAAGCAACCAUGUAGAAACGCUUAAUCAUCAGUCAGAGGAAUACGAAGCUUUCCGCAAGCUAUUCGAGAACAGUAUGUCUGAUGGUUCUUUCGGAGACUCCACAAGCUUCGGUUGGAAGGGAUGAAGAUCUCAUCUCUACAGUCCUCUGAUCUGCUUUUUUUGUGUAGUUCAUAACAUGAAAGUUUAGGAUUAAGCUUCUAGUAGUCUAAUCUAAGGUAGACCUGAUCUAGUCUUAUAUAUAACUUUUUUGGAAGAAUAGGAUGAUGCUUUCUACAUGGUUAUAAUUGCUACACAAUCUGUAAAUCAACAGUAGCACAUCAGUUUUUUUUUACACCGGUAAUGGGGAAGAUUGAAAUCUACUUAUAUGGAUGUUCUUGCCUUCUCUGUAA
rnacentral:lncRNA from 1 species